CCACGAANACCAUGNGUCUCCUUUUUCUAAUCAGUGAAACUGAUCUCCCCGUGAAGAAGCGGGGAUUAUUUUAUAAGACGAGAAGACCCUAUGAAGCUUAAAAUUUUUAUCAACUGCCACCCAUAAACCACCUUAACCUAGCAGACCUGAUUACUAAUUUUUGGUUGGGGUGACCGCGGAGCAAAAUUAAACCUCCACAAUGAAAGGAUUAAACCCCCUUAUUCAAGAAUUACACUUCUAAAAAUCAAUAUAUUGACAUAAAUUGAUCCAAACCUUUGAUCAAUGAACCAAGUUACUCUAGGGAUAACAGCGCAAUCCAUUUCAAGAGCCCCUAUCGACAAAUGGGUUUACGACCUCGAUGUUGGAUCAGGGUGUCCUAGUGGUGCAACCGCUACUAAAGGUUCGUUUGUUCAACGAUUAAAACCCUACGUGAUCUGAKUNCAAACCGG
rnacentral:rRNA from 1 species